rnacentral:rRNA from 1 species
AUUGAACGCUGGCGGCGUGCCUAACACAUGCAAGUCGAGCGGUAACAGGUGUAGCAAUACAUGCUGACGAGCGGCGAACGGGUGAGUAAUGCUUCGGAAUCUACCCAAUGGUGGGAAUAACCAGCCGAAAGGUUGGCUAAUACCGCAUACGUCCCACGGGAGAAAGCAGGGGAUCGCAAGACCUUGCGCCAAUGGAUGAGCCGAAGUCGGAUUAGCUAGUUGGAGGGUAACGGCCUACCAAGGCGACGAUCCGUAGCUGGUCUGAGAGGACGACCAGCCACACUGGGACUGAGACACGGCCCAGACUCCUACGGGAGGCAGCAGUGGGGAAUAUUGGACAAUGGGGGAAACCCGUGAUCCAGCGACGCCGCGUGUGUGAAGAAGGCCUGCGGGUUGUAAAG